UCUUGUAGGAUGGGUUCACCCCCCUGGCCAUAGCCUUGCAGCAGUGUCAUAACCAGGUGGUUUCUCUCCUCCUGGAACAUGACACCAAGGGCAAGGUGAGGCUGCCUGCCCUGCACAUCGCUGCCCGGAAGGAUGACACCAAGGCAGCUGCCCUGCUGCUACAGAAUGACCACAAUGCUGAUGUUCAGAGCAAGAUGAUGGUUAACAGAACUACAGAGGUAUACAUGUUUAUUCUACCCAUCCCCUCCUCUCCUCCCCUCUUCCUUCUUCACCUCCAUCGAGCUCUGCUCUGUAGUUCCUGUGUUGACAUCAGACCUGUGUUAAAUACUGCAUGAUGGACUCUGACAUGCUCUACUCUACAUCUAGCAUCU